rnacentral:rRNA from 1 species
GAUGAACGCUGGCGGCGUGCCUAAUACAUGCAAGUCGAGCGAACAGACGAGGAGCUUGCUCCUCUGACGUUAGCGGCGGACGGGUGAGUAACACGUGGAUAACCUACCUAUAAGACUGGGAUAACUUCGGGAAACCGGAGCUAAUACCGGAUAAUAUAUUGAACCGCAUGGUUCAAUAGUGAAAGACGGUUUUGCUGUCACUUAUAGAUGGAUCCGCGCCGCAUUAGCUAGUUGGUAAGGUAACGGCUUACCAAGGCGACGAUGCGUAGCCGACCUGAGAGGGUGAUCGGCAACACUGGAACUGAGACACGGUCCAGACUCCUACGGGAGGCAGCAGUAGGGAAUCUUCCGCAAUGGGCGAAAGCCUGACGGAGAAACGCCGCGUGAGUGAUGAAGGUCUUCGGAUCGUAAAACUCUGUUAUUAGGGAAGAACAAAUGUGUAAGUAACUAUGCACGUCUUGACGGUACCUAAUCAGAAAGCCACGGCUAACUACGUG